AAUCACACUGUCCUGCCUGGGGGUUGGGAUGGCAUGUUCCUCCCUUCUCCCUUGUUGUUUACCUGCAACAAUAAACUAUCAAUCAAUCAAUCAAUCAAUCAAUCAUAAACAGUUUAUAGGAUACGUUGGUUAUGGCAUUAGGUCUUAAUUCUGUCCUGUGACAUCAAGAUCAAGGUCAAGAUCAACGGAAGAAAACAGAGCAACGCUGCGAAGUUUGCCACACCGCCCACGCCUCCACGCCCACACAGUGCCCCCACGCCCACACAGUGCCCCCACACCCAUCCAACUGUGGUGAGAGAAGUCCUUCGUCAGCACACUGUCAACAUACUGGCAGCACAUUAUCAGCAGACUGUCACCACGUCAUCAGCACACUGUCACCCUGUCAUCAGCACACUGUCAGCCCAUCAUCAGCACUGUCAGCACAUCGUCAGAACAUCAGCACACUGUCAGCCCAUCAUCAGCACACCAUAACCACAGUCAGCACACUGUCAGCAAGUCUUCACCCCCGUAACAGUCUGCCUGCCACCCCUGGUGCUGAUGCAGCAGCGAGGGUCUGAGGUGGGUGCCGUGCUGCGUCCUCACUGCUGCUGGCUUCUGUUGCAGUGGAGGCUGCAGGGCCGGGCAGUAGCCUGAGGGGCCAGGACCAGCAGGAGCAGCCUGCCACUGC